AUACCUUCUCGGCCUUUUGGCUAUGAUCAAGUGUAGUAUCUGUUCUUAUAAGAGCUUUGCCUCCUUUUUUGUCGUACAACAAUAU
rfam:Perkinsus marinus ATCC 50983 gcontig_1104296719940, whole genome shotgun sequence.